rnacentral:rRNA from 1 species
UACGAAGGGGGCUAGCGUUGCUCGGAAUCACUGGGCGUAAAGCGCACGUAGGCGGAUUGCUAAGUCAGGGGUGAAAUCCUGGAGCUCAACUCCAGAACUGCCUUUGAUACUGGCGAUCUUGAGUCCGGGAGAGGUGAGUGGAACUGCGAGUGUAGAGGUGAAAUUCGUAGAUAUUCGGAAGAACACCAGUGGCGAAGGCGGCUCACUGGCCCGGUACUGACGCUGAGGUGGCGAAAGCGUGGGGAGCAAACAGG